UUACGGCCAUAUAGCGUUGAAACACCGGUUCCUAUACGAUCACCGAAGUUAAGCAAUUUCGAGCUUGGUCACUGACUUCAGUGACCGCUUCAGAAUACCAGGUGCUAUAA